ACGAACGCUGGCGGCGCGCUUAACACAUGCAAGUCGAACGGAAAGGCCUGCUUUCCCUUGUGGAUUGCGGGUACUCGAGUGGCGAACGGGUGAGUAACACGUGAGUGAUCUGCCCCCAACUUGGGUAUAAGCCUGGGAAACUGGGUCUAAUUCCCGAUAGGACUGCAGGGUGGUGCCUGUGGUGGAAAACGAUUUUCUAGUGGUUGGGGAUGAGCUCGCGGCCUAUCAGCUUGUUGGUGGGGUAAUGGCCUACCAAGGCGGCGACGGGUAGCCGGCCUGAGAGGGUGGACGGCCACAUUGGGACUGAGAUACGGCCCAGACUCCUACGGGAGGCAGCAGUGGGGAAUAGUGCACCAUGGGCGGAAGCCUGAUGCAGCGACGCCGCGUGGGGGAUGACGGCCUUCGGGUGGUAAACUCCUUUCGACCGCGAGGAAGCCACCUGGUUGGAAGGGUGGUGACGGUAGUGGUAGAAGAAGCACCGGCUAACUACGUG
rnacentral:rRNA from 1 species